rnacentral:lncRNA from 1 species
UACUACUCACAGUAAAUUACUUAUUCAUGCUUUAAUCUUUUCACUUGUAUCAAUGAAAGUUGCUUGUUUUAUACAUGCAUGCAUGCAUACAUACAUGUAUAAACUACUUUCCUUCGUAGUUUGUCAAUUGUAUGAUGGGGAUCUGGGACUGGAAAGCCCGGCAGAGCCAGCUAGCCAGUUUGAGGAAAAGAGAAGUGAGCAGAUGGAUCUUCCAUGGCCUGCCGAAAACUCAUUUUUGGUGGAAAACAACAUUGUUACCCCAGAGGGAUGGGACCAUCUCCGUGGAGCCCGACCUGAGUAAUGAGAUUGACUCUUUUGAAACCCUGAAAAUGAAAUAUGCUUAGCUGAAUUUAACAACUAGUCACAUGCCCUGUAGUGAGCUUGUUAAUUAUAUAUACAUAUUUCUUAGGUGACUUUGGGUCCAUUUCAGAGUUAUGAUAUCAAUGAAGUUGCAUCACUUUAAGUGACUCCCCCCAUCAUAUGUAGGUGAAGACAGAAGAGCUAACUUCAAGAUUUAACAUAAAUAUUUGGUUAUUUUCCUUCUCUAAUUAUUCUUCAUCAUUUCUCGAAUAUUUCGUUAAGUGCCAAUGAAUGAAAGGUGCUUGACAAUUAAAAAAGAAAAAAGCAAAGCUCCAUUCCUAUGCAAACAAGACAUCCCCUGUAACAACCAAUAAUUAGGUGUACCUGAGGGAAUGAGAAUUGUUGAAUUUUAAUCAAAAUCUACUACAUUAAACUUGGAAUCUAAAGUGAAACUGCACCCACCACAUAAAACUUGUAUGUUUUUUUGUCAUGAUUAAUUAAAUUAUUGAAGGAACCUAAACUCAGCAGUGUUGUUUAGGUUGGGAUUUGCUGGCUCAAACUUUAAUCAUUGUGAACAAUAAUGGAAUGAGUUUGGAAGUGAUUUCAUUUGUUGGAUAAAGCAGAAGAAUCCAAAAUUGGUGAAACCCGAAGUUUGCCAAAACCAGCCAGCAUUACCUGAAAGGUACGUGAUUGUAUUGGUUGGGUCCAGUCGUCCGAAGACCUGUUGCUGUUGAGUUGGCCAAUGGCUUGGCGGUCUUGGAACUGUCUAAAUCCUUGGCUAAAUUACUAAAAUUCGCUUCACCCCACGUGCAGGACAAUGUGUCCCCCCCCCCCCCUCCUUAAUGGAGCCACCACGAUAAUGGUGCUUUCCCU